CUCAGUGAACAAAACUAAACAAAAUUAUGGCUGGAAAUAAUAUAAGAAAAAACACAAAGUAUGUUAAAAGCCCCUUUAUGAACUUCAGAAUCUAUAUACGUUUACAACCCAUUCUUAUGGUGUACUAUGUCUCAAUUAAAUGACAGUAUCAUUAAAGUUACAAGGAUUUAAAGUGAGACUACGGCAGUAUGAGGGUUUAUAUACAGCAUUACAGAAUAAUGCAUAUGUCAGAGGAAACAAAUUAUGGCUUUGGCUCUUCAGAAUUCAUGAAAAUAACUGAAAAGGCAGAAUUCCCAAGAACUUUCUUUUUAUAAGCAAUACAUUCUUAAGGUAUCUACAGACUACCAAUACAGUAGUUAAACACAAUGUGAACACAAUAAAUGGAAACGCCAAUAAUAUGUUCAUGUUCAUUCACCUUCUAAUCAUUAUGUGUAUUAAUGUAAUUAUUGCUCAAGUCAUCAUAUAAAGUAUGAAAUAAUUUUUUUCUAAAU